rnacentral:lncRNA from 1 species
CGGGGCGGCCCCGCUCCGGCAGCGGCGGCGGCUCCUGCGGGCAGCGCUGGGCUGGUAGGGCGAGGAGUGGCAGCCGCCGGGCGGAGAGAGAUGCGCGCACACACCAGCGCGGAGAGAGAGAGGGAGGAUGGAUGGAGCGAUGCACAGAGCCAAAAGGACGUAGAGACACCCAGCAGGAAAGGGAGAAAGAGAGAGGGGAAAUGCUCAGAGCUGACGAGAACUGCACGGUGAUCAGUGGAAAGGGGAGGAGAGAGAGGCAGAAUUGAGGGACAUCUCUCAGGGGAGACGGACACUUGCAAGGGAAGAGCGGGUGAGGGAGGCUGCGAAGACGCUCUAAUCUGAUUAACGGGAGAGCGAGCCCGGAGAGGAGCGGCGGCGGCAGCAGCCACAGCGGGAGGCAGGUGGCACCUCCUCAGUCUCUUAGAGCUCCGUGACCGAGUGCAGACAGAGAAGAAAAAGUCACCUGGAAACCUCUCUCCACCUCCCUCCUUCCCAUCCCGUUUGUCUGGGGAGUCCCAUGCCUGCCGUUAUCUGGGAUGGCAAAGCCUGAGAGCUGGCACAGAAAGAAAUCGGGGCUCCUUUAUAUGCACUGUACGUAGGAGGGGGAAAAAAAAUCCCCCCCGUGAGGCUGUCAAGGUCCUCAGUAUACAAUUUUCUGUCUAUCUCGGCGCCUCUCACCAAGCCGCCCCCUCCCUUGCGUGUGACGCAGAUGUGCUCUGGGGCCGUCAGUGUGAAGAGACAGAGAGAAAAGGAGAUGCUUCAAGCUUCGUCAUGCAAAAAUGUAAGCUAGAAUGUUGUGCCAGGCACUUCUGCAAGGAGAAGAAAUAA